UGGGGGAUAUUGCACAAUGGGCGCAAGCCUGAUGCAGCGACGCCGCGUGGGGGAUGAAGGCCUUCGGGUUGUAAACUUCUUUUGCUCUGAACAAGGCGCACUUUGGGGUGUGUUGAGUGUAGGGGUUGAUUAGCGCCGGCUAACUACGUGCCAGCAGCCGCGGUAAUACGUAGGGCGCGAGCGUUGUCCGGAAUUAUUGGGCGUAAAGGGUUUGUAGGUGGCUGGUUGCGUCUGUCGUGAAAGCUCAUGGCUUAACUGUGGGUUUGCGGUGGGUACGGGCUGGCUUGAGUGCAGUAGGGGAGGCUGGAAUUCCUGGUGUAGCGGUGGAAUGCGCAGAUGUCAGGAGGAAUACCGGUGGCGAAGGCGGGGCUCUGGGCUGUGACUGACACUGAGGAGCGAAAGCAUGGGGAGCGAACAGG
rnacentral:rRNA from 1 species